CAAAAUAUUUAACAUAAAAGGUCCAAUGUGUGGGAAUUUAUGCCAUCUAGCUUUGAGAUCAUAUAUCAUAAUCAACUCUCUCGCGCCACGCAGUUCAAAUUACAUGUUACAGCUACGGAGGCCUUCACACUUCAAAAAGCUCUUUUCAAUA